UACGUAGGAGGCGAGCGUUGUCCGGAUUCAUUGGGCGUAAAGAGCGCGCAGGCGGCUUGGUAAGUCGGAUGUGAAAUCCCGAGGCUCAACCUCGGGUCUGCAUCCGAUACUGCCCGGCUAGAGGUAGGUAGGGGAGAUCGGAAUUCCUGGUGUAGCGGUGAAAUGCGCAGAUAUCAGGAGGAACACCGGUGGCGAAGGCGGAUCUCUGGGCCUUACCUGACGCUCAGGCGCGAAAGCUAGGGGAGCGAACUGG
rnacentral:rRNA from 1 species